CUGGCUGUUUUUCCAUAGAUAGAUAAUAGGUUGGCAGAGAGACAUGAAUUUCAGAAUCUGGAUCGAUUUUAUCACUCAACAAAACUGAACAAAUAUGGGAAAUCGGUCGUCCGACCUGGGUAGAGGGGCGAAAGACCAAUGGAACCGUCUAGCAGCUGGUUCCCUCCGCAGUUUCCCUGGGGAUAGCUGGCGCUCUGGCAGACACACAAAAGACGCAGUUUGAUCCAUCCGGUAAAGCGAAUCAUUAGAGGUCUUGGGGCAGAAAGGAUCUCAACCUCGUCUCAAGCUUUCUUUCAAUGGGUCAGAAGCCCAGCUCGCUGGCGUGGAGCCGGGCGUGGAAUGCGAGUGCCUAGCGGGCCACUUUUGGUAAGCAGAACUGGCGCUGCGGGGUGAACCGAAUGCCUGCUUAAGGCGCCCGAUGCCGAAGCUCAUCAGACCCCAGAAAAGGUGUUGGUUGAUAGGGACAGCAGGACGGGGGUCAUGGAAGUCGGAAUCCGCUAAGGAGUGUGUGUAACAACUCACCUGCGGAAUCAACUAGCCCUGAAAACGGAUGGCGCCGGUGCCGCGGGCCCAUACCCGGCUGUAGUUCUUCCAAGGAGAACUUGGAAGGCCAAAGUGGAGAAGGGUUCCAUGGGAACAGCAGUUGAACAUGGGUCAGUCGGUCCCGAGAGAUGGGCGAGCGCCGUUCCGAGGGGACCGGCAAUGGCCUCCGUUGCCCUCAGCUGAUCGAAAGGGAGUAGGGUUCAGAUCCCACAAUCCCGAGUGGCGGAGACCGGCGCCGCGAGGUGUCCAGUGCGGUAAGGCGACCGACCCCGGAGAAGCUGGCGGAGGCCCCAGGGAGAGUUCUCUUUUUUGUGUGUAGGGCUGGGCGCCGAGGAAUGGCUUCGCCCUGAGAGAGGGGCCCGUGCCUUGGAAAGCGUAGCGUUUCCGAUAACAUCUGGUGAGCGCCCGCUGGCCUUUGGACAAAAAAAUCCCGGGGAAAGUGUGUAAAUCUCGCGCGGGACCAUACCCAUAUCCU
rnacentral:ncRNA from 1 species